AUUGAACGCUGGCGGCAGGCCUAACACAUGCAAGUCGAGCGGGGUUUUCGGACCUAGCGGCGGACGGGUGAGUAAUGCGUAGGAAGCUACCCGAUAGAGGGGGAUACCAGUUGGAAACGACUGUUAAUACCGCAUAAUGUCUACGGACCAAAGUGUGGGACCUUCGGGCCACAUGCUAUCGGAUGCGCCGACGUGGGAUUAGCUAGUUGGUGAGGUAAUGGCUCACCAAGGCGACGAUCCCUAGCUGGUUUGAGAGGAUGAUCAGCCACACUGGAACUGAGACACGGUCCAGACUCCUACGGGAGGCAGCGGUGGGGAAUAUUGGACAAUGGGCGCAAGCCUGAUCCAGCCAUGCCGCGUGUGUGAAGAAGGCCUUCGGGUUGUAAAGCACUUUCAGUAGGGAGGAAGCGUUGUGUGUUAAUAGUACACAGCGUUGACGUUACCUACAGAAGAAGCACCGGCUAACUCUGUGCCAGCAGCCGCCGUAAGAC
rnacentral:rRNA from 1 species